rnacentral:rRNA from 1 species
UACGGGGGGGGCAAGCGUUGUUCGGAUUUACUGGGCGUAAAGGGCGCGUAGGCGGUCGUGACAAGUCACUUGUGAAAUCUCCGGGCUUAACUCGGAACGGUCAAGUGAUACUGUCGGACUAGAGUACAGAAGGGGCAACUGGAAUUCUCGGUGUAGCGGUGAAAUGCGUAGAUAUCGAGAGGAACACCAGUGGCGAAGGCGAGUUUCUGGCCUGCAUCUGACGCUGAGGAGCGAAAGCGUGGGGAGCAAACGGG